UACGGAGGAUGCGAGCGUUAUCCGGAUUUAUUGGGUUUAAAGGGUGCGUAGGCGGUCUGAUAAGUCAGUGGUGAAAGUUUUCAGCUUAACUGGAAAAUGCCGUUGAUACUGUCAGGCUAGAAUAUGGUUGCUGUGAGUGGAAUGUGUGGUGUAGCGGUGAAAUGCUUAGAUAUCACACAGAAUAUCGAUUGCGAAGGCAGCUCACAAAGCCAUUAUUGACGCUGAGGCACGAAAGUGUGGGGAUCAAACAGG
rnacentral:rRNA from 1 species